CUUUAUUGUACUUCCCACACCAGAUUCAUUAGCUUUCACAUAUGGUCUUCCCCUGCCCAUAAUAAAUCCAGAUUGAUCAGAAUCCACAAAGUCUGGAAUUACUGCCCCCAAUCUAUCUGCAAGAAUUUUAGAGAAGAUUUUUACAUCUAAAUUUAUAAUAGAUAUAGGCCUAUAAUUUGAAAUUAAACUUGGGUUCUUCCCUACCUUGGGUACUGGACAAAUUGAG